AGAGUUUGAUCCUGGCUCAGGACGAACGCUGGCGGCGUGCUUCAUACAUGCAAGUCGAACGAGAAGCUGACUUCGGUCAGUGGAAAGUGGCGGACGGGUGAGUAAAAUGUAGGAAAUCUGCCCUAGAGAGGGGGACAACAGAGGGAAACUUCUGCUAAUACCCCAUAUGAGCGUAACUGAGAUGUUAUUCUUGAAAACUCCGGUGCUCUAGGAUGAGCCUGCAUCUGAUUAGCUAGUUGGGGGUGUAAUGGACCACCAAGGCGACGAUCAGUAGCUGGUUUGAGAGGAUGAUCAGCCACAAUGGGACUGAGACACGGCCCAUACUCCUACGGGAGGCAGCAGUAGGGAAUUUUGCGCAAUGGGGGAAACCCUGACGCAGCAACGCCGCGUGAUUGAUGAAGCCCUUCGGGGUGUAAAGAUCUGUCAGUGGGGACGAAACUUGACGGUACCCACAGAGGAAGCAUCGGCUAACUCCGUGCCAGCAGCCGCGGUAAUACGGGGGAUGCAAGCGUUGUCCGGAAUCAUUGGGCGUAAAGAGUUCGUAGGUGGCACGUUAAGUCUGGUGUUAAAUGCAGGGGCUCAACCUCUGUUCGGCACUGGAUACUGGCGAGCUUGAAUGCGGUAGAGGUAAAGGGAAUUCCUGGUGUAGCGGUGAAAUGCGUAGAUAUCAGGAGGAACAUCGGUGGCGUAAGCGCUUUACUGGGCCGUAAUUGACACUGAGGAACGAAAGCCAGGGUAGCAAAUGGGAUUAGAUACCCCAGUAGUCCUGGCCGUAAACGAUGGAUACUAGGUGUUGCGGGUAUCGACCCCUGCAGUGCCGAAGCCAACGCGAUAAGUAUCCCGCCUGGGGAGUACGCACGCAAGUGUGAAACUCAAAGGAAUUGAC
rnacentral:rRNA from 1 species